rnacentral:rRNA from 1 species
GGGCUCACACAAGCGGUGGAGGAUGUGGCUUAAUUCGAGGAUACGCGAAGAACCUUACCUAGACUUAACAUGCUUGGGAACGUCUGUGAAAGCAGAAAGUGCCUUUCGGGGAGCCCUUGCGUAGGUGCUGCAUGGCUGUCGUCAGCUCGUGUCGUGAGAUGUCGGGUUAAGUCCCUUAACGAGCGAAACCCUUGUCCUUAGUUGCCAGCGAGUAAUGUCGGGGACUCUAAGGAGACUGCCGGUGUUAAACCGGGGGAAGGUGGGGAUGACGUCAAGUCCUCAUGGCCUUUAUGUCUAGGGCUGCACACGUCCUACAAUGGGACGUACAAAGGGAAGCGAACCCGCGAGGGCAAGCAAAUCUCAAAAAGCGUCUCUCAGUUCGGAUUGCAGGCUGCAACUCGCCUGCAUGAAGCUGGAAUCGCUAGUAA